rnacentral:rRNA from 1 species
UAGGGAAUCUUCGGCAAUGGGCGAAAGCCUGAUCCAGCAAUGCCGCGUGUGUGAAGAAGGUCUUCGGAUUGUAAAGCACUUUCGACGGGGACGGAUGAUGACGGUACCCGUAGAAGAAGCCCGGCUAACUUCGUGCUAG